AUAUUUCAAAUAAUCUUUCUUUUGCCGUAAAUUACAAGAUUUUCCAGUCUGACCACUGGCGCUUAACCUAACUACAUACUGAAAGGCACUUCAAGCUGGUGUGGGUGGAUGUUCUUUCCUGUUGAAAAGAGAACAAAACCCUCAACAAGGAGCAGCUGGAGACAACUUGGAGUGAGGAAAAGCAGAAAGUGUUGCGAAGCAUAAUCAUUUAAAUCACAGAUUAAGUCAACAUAAUAGCAGAGAAAAGGCAGGAAAUUUAAAAUGUUUGACUAUAGUGGCAACCUCACAGAGUCUUUUCAUUGGGAUCAACAGAGAAAAUGAGCUAAAUGAAUACAAUUUUAUAUCUCCUGACAUAGAAGUAAAGGAUUCAUGAGCAAAUGUUUUAUUUUAUACUACAAUUUUUAAAAUAUUUCCUUUAAAUACAAAGCCUUAACCAACAAAAUAUAAGCAUUAGCUUCAUGAAAAACAAUAAAAAUAAGAGCUAUUAACUA
rnacentral:lncRNA from 1 species